AUUUAUAUAGUUUAAAUAUUAAAAACUUUACAUUUUCAUUGUAAAAUAAAAAAAUUUUUUUAUAAAUA
rnacentral:tRNA from 1 species